CACACUUCCUGGUGUGGCCGCUGGAUGCACUGCUUGAGAAAUGACGUCACUGCAACCCUGUGCAGCGUGAAGCAGACCUUUUCCCGUCAGGUAGUGCGGCUUGCGGAAGGAGGCCUCUUCCCUUUCCUGAGGGCGAUAAUUCUCCAGGAGAACCAACUGCCUGUUGAGAUUUCUCCAGAACGCCUACUCCCUCAACAGCCCUGCUGCCGAGCAAGGCUUCUGUAGCCAGAAUGGAGCCCCAGCACGUAGUAGCCUCCAGACAAAUCUCCAGUCCUUUGUGACGUGACCCUCCAGUGCUCAAAAGGCUGUCACUGAUUGGAUCCUGGACAGAGAGCUGUUCCACCUUUUCAUGGCAACAGCAGCCUGCACGUAUCGUACUUCGUCUGGGCCUCGAGCUGAGUUUCCUGCGUCAGACGUUUCUGGGGAAUUCUGUGCUGGUCUGUCCUCAUUAGCAUGCCACCACUGAGGGCCACCAGGAGCCACACUCUGUGGAUUAUCCGGAGCGAAGAGUCAUCUCAAAAUUCGCAGUCACAGGCUCCAGGAAUAAGAGAGAAAUGGAAACGGGGGGCGUGUAGGGAGGAAGGGGUGCCGACUAGCCGACGAGCAACUAAUACUCAUGUUCCAGCGCAAAGAUUCUGAAACCUUUUGGUCUUGCAUCUCUUUUCGGCCUUCAAAAUUAUUGGGGAUCCCCAAGAACUUUUGUUUAUGUGGGUUAUAGCUGUUGCUGUUAACUGCGUUAGAAAUGAAAACUAAGA